rnacentral:rRNA from 1 species
CAGUCGCCGCGGUAAUACGUAGGGUGCGAGCGUUAAUCGGAAUUACUGGGCGUAAGGCGUGCGCAGGCGGUUGUGUAAGACAGGUGUGAAAUCCCCGGGCUUAACCUGGGAACUGCGCUUGUGACUGCACAGCUAGAGUAUGGCAGAGGGGGGUGGAAUUCCACGUGUAGCAGUGAAAUGCGUAGAGAUGUGGAGGAACAUCAGUGGCGAAGGCGGCCAUCUGGGACAACACUGACGCUGAGGCACGAAAGCGUGGGGAGCAAACAGGAUUAGAUACCCCUGUAGUCCCUGUCUCUUAUAA